rnacentral:rRNA from 1 species
ACGGAGUACUUCGGUACUUAGUGGCGGACGGGUGAGUAACGCGUGAGAAUCUGCCUUCAGGUUCGGGACAACCACUGGAAACGGUGGCUAAUACCGAAUGUGCAGCAAUGUGAAAUAUUUAUAGCCUGGAGAUGAGCUCGCGUCCGAUUAGCUAGUAGGUGUGGUAAUAGCGCACCUAGGCGACGAUCAGUAGCUGGUCUGAGAGGAUGAUCAGCCACACUGGGACUGAGACACGGCCCAGACUCCUACGGGAGGCAGCAGUGGGGAAUUUUCCGCAAUGGGCGAAAGCCUGACGGAGCAAUACCGCGUGAGGGAGGAAGGCUCUUGGGUUGUAAACCUCUUUUCUCAGGGAAGAAAAAAAUGACGGUACCUGAGGAAUAAGCAUCGGCUAACUCCGUGCCAGCAGCCGCGGUAAUACGGAGGAUGCAAGCGUUAUCCGGAAUGAUUGGGCGUAAAGCGUCCGCAGGUGGCUAUGUAAGUCUGCUGUUAAAGAGUCUGGCUCAACCAGAUAAAGGCAGUGGAAACUACAUGGCUAGAGUGCGUUCGGGGCAGAGGGAAUUCCUGGUGUAGCGGUGAAAUGCGUAGAGAUCAGGAAGAACACCGGUGGCGAAAGCGUUCUGCUAGGCCGCAACUGACACUGAGGGACGAAGGCUAGGGGAGCGAAUGGGAUUAGAUACCCCAGUAGUCCUAGC